rnacentral:rRNA from 1 species
UACGUAGGGGGCAAGCGUUGUCCGGAAUCAUUGGGCGUAAAGCGCGUGUAGGCGGUUCGGUAAGUCCGCUGUGAAAGUCGGGGGCUCAACCCUCGGAUGCCGGUGGAUACUGUCGGGCUUGAGUACGGAAGAGGCGAGUGGAAUUCCUGGUGUAGCGGUGAAAUGCGCAGAUAUCGAGAGGAACACCUGCGGCGAAGGCGGGUUGCUGGGCUGACACUGACGCUGAGGCGCGAAAGCCAGGGGAGCGAACGGG